rnacentral:tRNA from 1 species
GCCUUCGUGGUGUAGUGGUUUUGCACGCUGGGCCAGUAUUCCAGAGGUCCGCGGUUCGAUUCCCGGCGAAGGCG